UAAUCAUAUGCUUGUCUCAAAGAUUAAGCCAUGCAUGUCUAAGUACAAGCCGCGUAUGCGACGAGACUGCGGACGGCUCAUUAAAUCGGUUAUGAAUCCACUGGGGACAGACUCACCCGUGGAUAACGUGCGGUAACUCCGGUGCUAAUACAUGCAACAAGGCUCCGACCUCGUCUUCGGGCGGGGGAAGGGCGCACUUAUUAGGCGAAAACCAAUCGCUCUCCGAGCGUUGGUGGACGACACCCGAGUAAUUGCCGCCGAUCGCACGGCCUCCGAGCCGGCGACACCUGCACUGAGUUUCUGAUCUAUCAUGCUGACGACGGUUGGUGCUAUGCCAACCGUGGCGUUAACGGAUAACAGAGAAUCUGGGUUCGAUUCUGGAGAGGCCGCAUGAGAAACGGCGACCACUUCCAAGGAAGGCAGCAGGCACGCAAAUUACCCACUUCGGACACCGAGAGGUAGUGACGAACAAUACCGAUGCGGCGCACUUACGUGUCGCCGUAAUCGGAAUGAGUACAAUUCAAAUCCUUUAACGAGGAUCAACUGGAGGGCAAGCCUGGUGCCAGCAGCCGCGGUAAUUCCAGCUCCAGCAGCGUAUAUUUAUAUUGCUGCGUUUAAAAAGCUCGUAGUUGAAGCGUCAGACGCGGGAGGGCGGACGGCGCACAGGUCGCUCUCGCCCGACCGAGCCAGGCGCAGAGGG
rnacentral:rRNA from 1 species